AUACCUUUUUCGGCCUUUUGGCUAAGAUUAAGUGUAGUAUCUGUUCUUAUCAAUUUAAUAUCUGAUAUGGAGGCCCUGUUCUCACAACGAUAUUAAACUUAUUUUUUGUGGGAGAGGGCCUGCUUUGAUAACUUGCUAUCUGGGCUCUCGUGUGUUGUCCUAGUGUUGCACUAUUGCUUGAGCUUGGCGCACCCCAA